CCCUUAGAUGUUCUGGGCUGCACGCGCGCUACACUGAAGCGUUCAACGAGUAUUCACCUUGCCCGGGAGGGUUGGGUAAUCUUUUGAAAACGCUUCGUGAUGGGGAUAGAUUAUUGCAAUUAUUAAUCUUCAACGAGGAAUUCCUAGUAAGCGCGAGUCAUCAGCUCGUGCUGAUUACGUCCCUGCCCUUUGUACACACCGCCCGUCGCACCUACCGAUUGAAUGGUCCGGUGAAGCCUCCGGAUUGCACAGGCCCCGUGUCUGGCGCGAGAAGUUGGCUAAACCUUACCAUUUAGAGGAAGGUGAAGUCGUAACA
rnacentral:rRNA from 1 species